GAAAGCCUGGGAGCCGAGGCAGUAGGAAGAUGGCUGGUGAUGCUCGUGGUCUUGGGCUCAGUGAGCAGGGGAUCUGCAGAGCCCAGAAUCAGCUACAGUGUUCACCAAAUGCAAGCAGACAGCAUGAGGAUCUGCAGUGAAUGUUGUGCACAGGUGCUGCCUUUCACUCCUGCAGCUCAGUUCCACAAAGCUGUUGUCCUGGAGGUCUUCAACAGGAGAUCCGUGUUUUGAAACGUUGCUCACCAACGUAAGGAGGCACCUGUAAUAACAGGCUGUGCCUUGGUUGAGAGCACUUUGCCAGCAUUCCCAAAUCUCCGUAAGUAUGGCUGCUGCUACUCACUUGGAAGAAGGGGAGCUCCUUUUUGGUCAUGCAAAAAGCAUCACCUUUACCACUGUUACCAUGUUGGGUGAGUAAGCGAUUCCCAGUCGUUCCCAGCCAUUUUACACUUUGCACCGCUUUUUAGUCUGGAAAUAUCUACCAGCAGGUAUUACACUCUCUGGCUUGUGUUUCUCUCUUAGCCAUUGUCAAAGCUUUACAGAAGGCAGAGCUGCUUCAUCAAAGCUCUGAGACCAGGCAGCGUUGCUCUGCCCCUUACAAGCCUGACACGGCACCAGCAGCCAGCACCAGCAGGAGCUGCUGAAGGUGGCGAUGGGGCUCGGCAUGGUCGGGGCAGAGCACCCUGCACUGGCCCUGCUCCUGCUGCCCUCGUCCUGCUGCCACCUCACUGCAGCCCCGUUGUGCCCCCGGCUGCAGGCAGCGUGCAGAGCCCCUGCCCUGGGAUCCUGCAGUGGCUACGAGAGAGGCUGGCAGGACGGAGUAAACCGCCGGGAGAUUAUUGCAGCAGUAAUCUCAAAAGUGAGUAUUGAUCCAGUUCCUUGUUGCUGUUCCUGUCAUUUUACUCUAUUUUAACAGUUUCCAAAUACGUGAGAGACAAAAGUAACUGAAAUGUAUACGAAAACAACUUUUUUCCCUAUUGUUGUCGUUGUGAGCAGCGGGAAUGAAUAAGUGAAAAUACAAUUUCAGAGGUUGCAGUGCCUGUAACAAAAUUCUUAUUGUUUUGAUAGAGGUGAGAGUUGCGACUCUAUAGGUAAAACUGAGUUGAAUUUCACACCGCAGACACAUUUGUUUUUCUUCUGAGUUUAAUCUUGACGCAAUUUACUCUAUUUACAGUGGUCAGCCCUAGUGGAAAAGUAUUACAUGUCUCUACAUCGUGUUUCAUUCCAGACAGCAUCUUCACCAUCUGAACUUCAUCCUAUUGUCGUACUCCUCAUAUUAUUUGUAUGCACAUAUUUAUUGAUGCACCUGAAUGUGCGUACUUUGGCUUGAAAAUUCUUCAUUUCACAGGGGAUGGAAAAGAAAUGGCAUGAUCAUUAAGACUGGUGGAAAUCCCUACUGGUGAGAACGUGGUGGUGACUGGUGCCUGGCCGUGCAGGUAGAGAGGAGCCAGCCCCUGUGUCACGCAGCCUGCACGUCGGGAAGCUGCCGGAGGUUACAGCCCUGCAGGAGAUCGUUAUACUGCUCUCCUGUGCUGUAGGUAACUCUAGGGAUAAUUGUAAUUAUCCAGUCCAUUGCUGUAGAUCAAAAGCUGUCAGAUAAGGGUCAGCUCCUCAUAUGCUGCCAGCAAGUGUGCGUCUUGAUCCUUGCUUUUAGAAGCUGUGUGUGCUGCAGCCUGAGGGCUGCAACUCAUCCAUGAGAUAAAGUCCUUUGGCAUCGCCACAAGGUCCGUAUUCAGUCCAUGUCCAGUGAAAUUACCACUUUAUGCGAAUCAACCUAAAACUUAGCUACCCCCUAAUAAAUCUUUGAGUGACCAGAAUAAUCUGGUGUCAGAGAAUGAUUUCACCAAUGGCAAAAUGUUUCACUGUGAAAUUGCAUUAGAUGCAUGAAGGAUCACGGUCUUUAUCAGUGACCGCAUAUUAUCUCUUCCACCCUAUACCCAAACCCGAGAAACUACAAGCAGUUAUUUCACAGAUUUUUAAUGGCCUCUGGGUUUUUACUACAUUGCAAACAUUGAAAAAAAAUCAAUGGGAGCUUUCAUGUAUGCUCUCAGAAAAGGCUACUUGGUGUUCACAGUCCCACAAGUAAACACAUUAACAUGGAGCCAUCACUGUGCACAGAGCUGGAGCAUCUCGGGCACUUUUAGUGCUUAGUUAUCCUUGUUUUCUGAUUAAUUAAGUGGUUGUUUGAAUACUAAUCUCUAUUCAUUAUUUACCAGUAUUGCCAUAAUUUUGGCCCCUGGGUAUAGAAGAUUAAAAUGCCCAGGAAGCAGCAUGAACAGUUAAAGAUACAAGUGGGAACUGGUUUCUUUGUAGGCAUAAUAUGAUUAAAAGCAUUUGUCUUCACCCAUGAUUAAUAAUAAAUCAGGCCUAUUACGAUUACUACUUUAGGUUUUAAUUUUAAACAAACUAUUGAAACAGACUCUAUGCAAAAAAAAUAAAAUAAAUGUUCAUAACAGGCUUUGUUUGGAUUGAAAGCAGAAGUUUUGUACUUUCUCAGAAAUUAAAAAAAUACAGCUGUGUAAAAAUUCAGCCUCA